rnacentral:miRNA from 1 species
UAUCACAGCAAUCACAAUGAGAAGA